AAAUAUUAGAUUGCGCGUCGGUUCAUUUUCUCCGCUAAUGCUCUCUCUCUAGGUUCCUCUCUCUCAUCUGCGGGGGCACCUGCUCCAAUCCACCACAUUUCGCAUGCACAUCUGGGCUCCUGCGAAAGUAUUUCCGAGGGGAUUGAAUCACAAAUCUAUCCCAGGAGCUCAUCGACGAACACAUCAGGUAUCCAUGGAUGACUGGAAGCGCAAAUCACCAGCAGCUCGCGGCUCUACUUGAUCCAGGGGCGCGACAGAUUCAGAUGAGCGAUUCCCCCUCCCCUUCCUCGCACCCUGUUACUGGAUCGAUUAUCCAUUCUGGACAGGGGGUUCCUAUCCGUGAUUCUUUUGCCUGUUUUUUCAGCAUUGGAGGAGGAAGGCUCACACCCAACAAGGGGAAAGCGCACACCCAACAAAUCAACACAAAGACCAUCUGACCCUAAACAUUGCAUCCAGCAACCACCCAUCCCUGAAUAUUUGCAACCAAAAAUUACAAUGCCAGGAGUACAGAAGGAGGUCGGGCUACAUCAUCCCAAGAUGUCUCUAGCAGCAUAGGAGGAACAACAUAGGAGGAAGGAGGUGGUGUGGAUAGAAUAGUAUGUGCAAAUUUGAAGCAGAUUGCGUAUAUAAAGCAAGCAAAGUAACUACUUAUGUGCAGUCAUGCAUAAGUAACUACUUAUGCAUGUGUUGUAAAGCACCGGACAAAAGAAGGUUGGGUAGAUCUUGUUGGAAACCCUAGAUCAUGCCUUCAAACUAUGGGGAGAUACAAUGAAUUUUGUGUACAAACCUUGGUUAUUGCACCGAUUUUGUUGUUUUGGCCCCUGUGA